AGUAAUAUAUCGGAACGUGCCCAGUCGUGGGGGAUAACGUAGUGAAAAUUACGCUAAUACCGCAUACGAUCUAAGGAUGAAAGCGGGGGACUCGCAAGAGACUCGCGCGAUUGGAGCGGCCGAUAUCAGAUUAGGUAGUUGGUGAGGUAAAGGCUCACCAAGCCAACGAUCUGUAGCUGGUCUGAGAGGACGACCAGCCACACUGGAACUGAGACACGGUCCAG
rnacentral:rRNA from 1 species